UACGAAGGGGGCUAGCGUUGCUCGGAAUCACUGGGCGUAAAGCGCACGUAGGCGGAUCGUUAAGUCAGGGGUGAAUCCUGGAGCUCAACUCCAGAACUGCCUUUGAUACUGGCGAUCUUGAGUUCGGGAGAGGUGAGUGGAACUGCGAGUGUAGAGGUGAAAUUCGUAGAUAUUCGCAAGAACACCAGUGGCGAAGGCGGCUCACUGGCCCGAUACUGACGCUGAGGUGCGAAAGCGUGGGGAGCAAACAGGG
rnacentral:rRNA from 1 species